AGGGUGGCCAGGACCAUCAGCUCGGUGCCAGCCAUAGCAACAGUUUCAGACCCGUGUAAUCACCUGUGCUGUAGCCGACCUCCAUCACCUGUCCCCCUUUAUCCUGGGCUCUGUUCCUGUGGAUUUGAACAAAUAGAUGAGAGGCAUCGGAAGAAAGCUUUAGCUGCAUGUGUUUGGGUGACCACGAGAGGGCAGCACGUAAAAGACCAGUGUCAGCCCCGCUGCCUUCUUGAACACACCGGAAGCCUCCUAGGAAAACUGUAGACUUUGUCGGACUGUGAAGUAGAGGAGUCAAAGAGCCUUCAUUGCUUCCUUUUAAAUGACCAGCCUACUAAGGAAUUUAGAAUGCCCAAGUAAGGACUGCUGGUCAGACUGGACUUCAAAGUUCCUGGAUCCUUAAGACCCAAUGUCCUGCUGUAUCCUCCCACCCUCAGCUAAGGGACAGUGCUGGCUCUCUGGUGAGGGAGAUCCUUGUGGAGGUCUCUGGCAUUCCUGGGUCAGUGGAUGGCUGGGAGAACUGCUCAGCUCCAGGUUCCAGGGCCUCUGAUCAAAGCCAACCCUGGGGGCCAGCCAGAGAUAUCGCAAACCUAAGGACUAAUGUGGAAUCUACACCUGCCUUGGGAGUAAAGAA
rnacentral:lncRNA from 1 species